rnacentral:lncRNA from 1 species
CCUCCCUUGGCUGACAAACAGGAAGGGGGCAGGGCUGCCUGGGUGCCCCUGCCCGCCCCCGCGGCCCCGUGUCUGGCCCCAACCCUCCUCUCUACUCACGGCUGCGGUGAACUUGGAUGUGCUGCAUGCACCGCAAGCCACAGUCCGUCACAAAUUGCCCUGUGAUCUCAGAGCUGGCGAGUGGAAGAGAAAGCCUUGCUCCCAGGCAGCCUGGCUCCAGAGCCGUGCUCUUGAUCACUCUGUUCGGCGGCCUCUCUGAAAAGAUAACCAGGAAAAGCCCGACAGCAACGGCCCCCUGGCUGGAAGUUUUGCUGUCCCAGGAGGGCAACCUGCCCAGCAUUUCUAGCUCAGUGUUUCUUACCUACAAUGUCACCACACACCAUCUUGAAGUAUGUCAUUGGUAUCAUAUUACUCGUGUUAAAGUACCAAAGUCUGUGAAUAAUUGAACUUUUAAAAAAAAAUUAGGGCAGAUUCAAGCAUUGUCACUUUCACUCGUUUGCAACACUCUGGGCUUUCCUGACUGCAGGAGAAAGGGCUGUGGACACAGCCAGCAUGAGGGCCCUGCCCAGUCCCCAAUGUAGGUUACUGGGAGAAUGGGGACCAGUGAAUAUCAUCAUAAGCUGUGGCAGGGCAGGAGAAGCAAGAGCUGCAGCUCUAACCUCAUUAAUAUGGGAUUGGACAAAUGCUGAAUUUUUCAAAAAGCAGUGCUUUCUGUUUUACCAGCUCCCUCUCUCAACCCAGCCGCCCCAGGGACACCACUGACACCUCGUGGCCACCAGUGGAAUUGCAGGCCUACUGUCCUGGAGGGACCAGGCAGGAUCUUCCUCCCAUCUGCUAGCCAGGGAGCAGAGCUACUCCCCCGACUCCAAUAAUCCCAUCUCCCCUAAUCCCAAAUCCCUCCAUUUGAGAUUGCCCCUAACCACUACCUUCUCGAUCUCCCAUCUUCCUUUCCUAGUUCCACAAACACAAAGCAAACCCACCAUUUCCAUUCUUCAGAGUCACCUCGCCUCUGAAUCUUGAAGCCACCAUACCAAAGCGUCUCAAGUGCAGUCACAGCAGGAAGCAGGAGAUCAGCUGUGCUCAGGUGAGUCAAGAAGGCUCCCUAGGGAGGAGGCCCUGGAGGAUGGGUAGGAAUUGCCCAGGAAGACAAAAGGGGAAGGACACCCCAGGAAGAGGGGACGGAAUUGAGCCCGGCUUUGUAAGAAAAGGACACAAGGCAUGUUUUGUACCAGGAUGCACUCUGCACUCUGUGUUUAUCAUUUCAUUGCACCCUCACAAACAACCUUGCCAGGGAGCUAUCAUUGCUGACAUUUUAAAAUGAGGAAAUUAAGAUUCAGGAAGGCAAACUUACCUGUCUAAAGUGGUCAGAUAUGUAGGCGGCAAAGCCAGCUUGUCCCACGUGAGCUGUGGAGGGUUUGAGCUGGUACAGACUCGGAGGAAUUCUAGGUCACCCAGGAAAACAGUCAACAUGCAAGGCGGCUUUCAAGUGCAGCCACAGUGCUUGGCACCAAAGCCCGCCGGGUCCUCAGAGGCACUGCCAGGACAGACAAGGACCCCACGAGGCAGCUGGCACUGGCUGGGCUGAGCUCCCAUGCGGCACAGAGAGGGCCGGAGAGAAUGAGAUUUACGAGGGCCACGGCCUCUCUGACUUAAUGGUCAGCAGUUGAGCUAUUUCAUCUCAUCACACGGUUUUGCCCAGAAAUAGCUGCAAACCUUCACUCUAGGACGGCUUUCAGUCAGGAGACGGUGACCUGCGUAUCUCCUAAAUCAUGUUAAUGCCCGGGGCAGCCUGUGCCUCCUCCCUUUGCAGCAUCUUCUGCCACCUGCCAGCCCUUUUCCAGUGCCGAGGAAUGCAGAGGAGGGGCAGGAAGGCCACUCUAGUGUGGCCCAACUUGGGGUUGUCUGCCCACCCCAAAAGAGCUAGGCAAACUGUCGAGGAGCAGCAAAU